GCGGACGUAGCUCAGUUGGUAGAGCGCAAGCUUCCCAAGCUUGAGGUCGCGGGUUCGAGGCCCGUCGUCCGCU
rfam:Conexibacter woesei DSM 14684, complete genome.